UUCCGUAGGUGAACCUGCGGAAGGAUCAUUAUU
rnacentral:rRNA from 3 species